UACGUAGGUUGCAAGCGUUGUCCGGAUUUACUGGGUGUAAAGGGCGUGUAGGCGGAGAUGCAAGUUGGGAGUGAAAUCCCGGGGCUCAACCCCGGAGCUGCUUUCAAAACUGCAUCGCUUGAGUAUCGGAGAGGCAAGCGGAACUCCUAGUGUAGCGGUGAAAUGCGUAGAUAUUAGGAGGAACACCAGUGGCGAAGGCGGCUUGCUGGACGACAACUGACGCUGAGGCGCGAAAGCGUGGGGAGCAAACAGG
rnacentral:rRNA from 1 species